GGAAUUGUUCGCACUGGGCGCAAGCCUGACGACGCAAUGCCGCGUGGAGGAUGAAGGUCUUCGGAUUGUAAACUCCUGUUGCCCGGGACGAAUGGCUCCGACCCAAUACGUCGGAGCGUGCCGGUACCGGGUGAGGAAGCCCCGGCUAACUCUGUGCCAGCAGCCGCGGUAAUACAGAGGGGGCGAGCGUUGUGCGGAAUUACUGGGCGUAAAGGGCGCGUAGGCGGCCUGCUAAGUCUGUUGUGAAAUCCCCGGGCUCAACUCGGGAAUUGCGUCCGAUACUGGCAGGCUCGAAUCCGGGAGAGGGAUGCGGAAUUCCAGGUGUAGCGGUGAAAUGCGUAGAUAUCUGGAGGAACACCGGUGGCGAAGGCGGCAUCCUGGACCGGUAUUGACGCUGAGGCGCGAAAGCCAGGGGAGCAAAC
rnacentral:rRNA from 1 species